UUUUGAGAAUGGUAAGAUUAUAUAGUUAUAUAAAUUGGUGCCACAAAUAAAUCAAAAAUAACAUUUAAUCAAACAAAAAAGUUGAUCUUUUCAAUUAAUAAAUUAAUUUUGAUUUGUACACUCUACAAUAUAACAUUACAACAUUUUAUGCCCACAUGUCUUUUGUGUACAUUCAGAUAAUUGGUGAAUCUAUUGUAAAUUAGUCACAUACUUAAAAUAUUAGUAAUAAGGAUCUUGAAAAAUUGAGUACCAAAUAUUUUCUGCCUGUCACAAUUUUUUCAGCAAUUUGACAAAGAUCAUUAGAAAUUAGUUUAUAUAGAGAGAAAACAAUUCAUUGACACAAUACAGCAUAUAAGUAGGAGAGAAAACGAUCAAAAUUGAAUAAUGAUUUAUUAAAAGUUGAUUUUUUUGUUUAAACAUGCUGCUGAGCCAACAUCCAUACCAUGCUGAAUACACCAGUUCUCGUCCAAUCUUGCUGCUGACGAUAUAAGGAAUCAAUACUCUUUCAAUAUUCUGAAAAUACAACAGAUUUUUCUAUUUUUUGCAAAUCUCUCUCUCUCUCUCUCUCUCUCUCUCUCUCUCUCUCUCUCUCUCUCUUUUUCUCUCUCAAGAAUAUCAGAAUUGACAAAAUACCAGCUUAAAACAAUUUGACCAAGAUAUUUUGUAAUUUUGGCAAUCUGUGCUUUUAUGGACCCAGUAUUCUGCUCAUUAAGUCAAUUCAAAUAAAGCGGUCAGACGUGUUGUGAGGGAUGAGAAACAAGUGCUAAAAAAAGUGUAUCUGCGAUUUGUCAGAGGCCCUCAUACAGUUCAGCAGCCUAGAGUGCAGAGCGAUUAUUACUGAAUCGAGAAAGUUAACUUUUGUUGGCGGGAUUCGAACCCACGACUUUCGGCUCAACAUGCCGCUGCUCUAACCACUUGAGCUACCAUGACUUCGAUCGCCCAUGCCACAAACUUCUCAUUUCAACUACCUGAUUUUAUUCUAAUUGUAAGCAAACAGUAUUUUUCUUGACUGUUAGUCCAGGAAUAAAAAAUGGAAGAAAAUAGAUCAGUUUUUUUUUGCAAUUAUAUUUCCAGGAUUUGGCCCUCUUGCAACCACCUUGAAAACAUCAGUUUUUUUAUAUUUCCUGUUUUAACUCUCUUGGCAUAUAAUAUAUAAAAAUUGAUCUGUUAUUUUUAGUGUUGUACUCCCAUGAGAUUGGAUUUAUAAAUUGAAAGGACCGUGCAAAUCAGGGCUCCACAAAAUUUAGGAUUUCCCCAACUCUAGUAUAGUUCCCAGUUUUUCCAUGAAUAAAUCCCCUCACAUUGAUGGAAGGCAGUAUGAUGUUUCUGACAAAAAAACUACUGAAAUGUAUUUCUAAAUGUAUUUGCUUAGGUUUAAAUUAAAAA